GGCGGUGUGGCAGCCCGUCGCGGUGUGGC
rnacentral:sRNA from 1 species